rnacentral:rRNA from 1 species
CCUACGGGAGGCAGCAGUAGGGAAUCUUCCACAAUGGGCGAAAGCCUGAUGGAGCAACGCCGCGUGGGUGAAGAAGGUCUUCGGAUCGUAAAACCCUGUUGUUAGAGAAGAAAGUGCGUGAGAGUAACUGUUGACGUUUCGACGGUAUCUAACCAGAAAGCCACGGCUAACUACGUGCCAGCAGCCGCGGUAAUACGUAGGUGGCAAGCGUUAUCCGGAUGUAUUGGGGGUAAAGGGAACGCAGGCGGUCUUUUAAGUCUGAUGUGAAAGCCAUCGGCUUAACCGGAGUAGUGCAUUGGAAACUGGGAGACUUGAGUGCAGAAGAGGAGAGUGGAACUCCAUGUGUAGCGGUGAAAUGCGUAGAUAUAUGGAAGAACACCAGUGGCGAAAGCGGCUCUCUGGUCUGUAACUGACGCUGAGGUUCGAAAGCGUGGGUAGCAAACAGGAUUAGAUACCCUAGUAGUC